rnacentral:rRNA from 1 species
UACGGGGGGAGCUAGCGUUGUUCGGAAUUAUUGGGCGUAAAGGGUGUGUAGGCGGUUAUGUAAGUAGAGUGUUAAAUCCCCGGGCUCAACCCUGGAAUUGCAUUCUAUACUGCAUGACUAGAAUGUGGUAGAGGAAAGUGGAAUUCCUAGUGUAGAGGUGAAAUUCGUAGAUACUAGGAGGAACGUCGAAGGCGAAGGCAGCUUUCUGGACCAUUAUUGACGCUGAGGCACGAAAGCGUGGGUAGCAAACAGG